GUUUUCCAGGGUCUUUUCCCUCUGUUCGAUCCCUUCCAAAAUAAAGAGAGGAAAGAACUGAAGGUCGUGAGGCUGCGGGACAGUUCCUUUUGCGUCAGAGGAAAUCAAUCUAAUAGCUUUCUUCCUAUCGUAGUGCUCUAAAAGUUGUGAGAACGACGAGUGAGAGCAUCUCGGAGUCCCUCUACUCAAGAGUCUAAGCUCAAGGAAGGGCAGGGAGAAAGCCCUUUUUUUUAUUAGUUUUUCGGGUACUAAACCCGGGUGGCAACCUAUGUCCAGCCCUAGAUUCUGCUUAAGACUUUGUAGGAGGUUUCAAUAGGAGGGCGACCAGAACCCUUUUCCGAGAGAAUCCUUGGAAAUACUCCCAUGCGUGAUUUCUGACUAGAGAACUUAUUAACAUAUUAUAGGUCUUCCUUUAA
rnacentral:misc_RNA from 1 species